GUGAAGAACGUAGCGAAAUGCGAUAAGUAGUGUGAAUUGCAGAAUUCAGUGAAUCAUCGAAUCUUUGAACGCACAUUGCGCCCCUUGGUAUUCCAUGGGGCAUGCCUGUUCGAGCGUCAUCUGCACCCUCAAGCACUGCUUGGUGAUGGGCGUCUGUCCCGCCUCUGCGCGCGGACUCGCCCCAAAGGUAUUGGCAGCGGUCCUGUCCGCCUCUCGCGCAGCACAGAUGCGCUUCUCGAGGCUUCGGGGCCCGCGUCCAUGAAGCUCUUUUACCACGUUUGACCUCGGAUCAGGUAGGGAUACCCGCUGAACUUAAGCAUAUCAAUAAGCGGAGGA
rnacentral:misc_RNA from 1 species